rnacentral:lncRNA from 1 species
AUGAAUAUGUCCACAGUGGACAUGAGUAAAUGGAAGAUUGGAGUGUUUCUCAUAGUGAAGAAUGGAUCAAUUCCUGGAUCAAGUUCUGUCUCAGAAUUUUCAGCUCUAAAGGUCUCUUGGAACAGAGAGGAGCUUAACACACACACAUCUGCUCUGUGCAACAGCAGACACAUCUCUUCAUGCUGUAGAGACAACAUGAGAACUGGAGGCUUUCAUCUUGGAUGGACUUCAACAGGGUGAAAGGAGUAAAUGCUGGCGCCACAACUCAUCUGAGAACACCUCUCUUGUCACAUGAUCACACUUGUCAGAAACCAGUUUGGAAAAGCGAGUGCUCCUGUUUCUGUACCCUCUGUCCUUGAGCCCGGUCCGUCUUUAUUUCGGCACGGCAGCCCUGUUGUGUCACAGCCCCGCUCACGAUGCUUCAUUGGCUGAGAAUGUGGAACGUGUGGUUUUGGCUGGGAGCGCUCCCCGGCUCGCCGAGGCUGUUGCAUAAAACGCCGGGGGUGUUUUUCUGCUGUGUCAUCCACUGACCUCAGAGACAGGAGAACUGAACCAGCUCUCCCCUACGAGUGGUAAUGCUUGUGUUAUGGUUUUGCUUGGCUGGAAAACUCUUUGGGCACAUUGCAAUUUUGUCCCAGCAGAACAAACCAUGAAACGUAACAAGAGACUUGGAUAACCUCUAGCCUCUGUGUGCGCAUGCUUUUUCCCUAAAGAAAUAAAUGGAAUGGUGCUUUACA